GCCGAGACAAACUGAUGCAACUUCCACCAGUGGCGAGUGCGGUGCAUCUCGGGAGCUGUAGUUUUAUUUUUCGUUACGAGUGCGGCGAGUUGACGGCAAAGCACUACAAUACCCGAUUCCCUUUCUGCGCAGCGAGGACAGCUUCCGCCAGCCAGCCAGCCAGCCGGCAACGUGUGUCAGCGGUGAAGUGCUAUACUCGGCCUGCACUCAGUAUGACGG